rnacentral:rRNA from 1 species
UUGUAGUCAUAUGCUUGUCUCAAAGAUUAAGCCAUGCAUGUCUAAGUAUAAGCAACUUUGUACUGUGAAACUGCGAAUGGCUCAUUAAAUCAGUUAUAGUUUAUUUGAUGGUUUUUGCUACAUGGAUAACUGUGGUAAUUCUAGAGCUAAUACAUGCAUUCAAGCCCCGACUCCUGGAAGGGGUGUAUUUAUUAGAUAAAAAUCAACUUUGUUGGUGAAUCAUAAUAACUUCUCGGACCGCACGGCCUCGUGCUGGCGGUGCUUCAUUCAAAUAUCUGCCCUAUCAACUGUCGAUGGUAGGAUAGAGGCCUACCAUGGUUGCAACGGGUAACGGGGAAUGGGGCGGGGGCGGCG